UACGGGGGGGGCAAGCGUUGUUCGGAAUUACUGGGCGUAAAGGGCUCGUAGGUGGCCAACUAAGUCAGACGUGAAAUCCCUCGGCUUAACCGGGGAACUGCGUCUGAUACUGGAUGGCUUGAGUUCGGGAGAGGGAUGCGGAAUUCCAGGUGUAGCGGUGAAAUGCGUAGAUAUCUGGAGGAACACCGGUGGCGAAGGCGGCAUCCUGGACCAACACUGACGCUGAGGCGCGAAAGCGUGGGGAGCGAACGGG
rnacentral:rRNA from 1 species